GACGCUGGCGGCGUGCUUAACACAUGCAAGUGGAGCGACGAGCCCGGGCUUGCCCGGGGGCAGAGCCGCGAACGGGUGAGUAACACGUGGGUAACCUGCCCCGAUGACUGGGACAACCCGAGGAAACUCGGGCUAAUACCAGAUGAACUUUCGACACAUGAGUGUCGUUCGAAAAGGAAGCUUCGGCCUCCGCAUUGGGAUGGGCCCGCGGCCCAUUAGCUUGUUGGUGGGGUAACGGCCUACCAAGGCUUCGAUGGGUAGCUGGACUGAGAGGACGAUCAGCCACACUGGGACUGAGACACGGCCCAGACUCCUACGGGAGGCAGCAGUGGGGAAUCUUGCGCAAUGCGCGAAAGCGUGACGCAGCAACGCCGCGUGCGGGAAGACGGCCUUCGGGUUGUAAACCGCUUUCAGUUGGGACGAAGCUUCGAUCGUUAAUAGCGGUUUGAAGUGACGGUACCUUCACAAGAAGCCCCGGCUAACUACGUGCCAGCAGCCGCGGCAAUACGUAGGGGGCAAGCGUUGUCCGGAAUCAUUGGGCGUAAAGAGUUCGUAGGCGGUUUGUCACGUCGUUUGUGAAAACUCACAGCUCAACUGUGAGCCUGCAGCUGAUACGGGCAGGCUAGAGUUCGGUAGGGGAGACUGGAAUUCCUGGUGUAGCGGUGAAAUGCGCAGAUAUCAGGAGGAACACCGGUGGCGAAGGCGGGUCUCUGGGCCGAUACUGACGCUGAGGAGCGAAAGCAUGGGGAGCGAACAGGAUUAGAUACCCUGGUAGUCCAUGCCGUAAACGUUGGGCACUAGGUGUGGGGGACAUUCCACGUUUUCUGCGCCGUAGCUAACGCAUUAAGUGCCCCGCCUGGGGAGUACGGCCGCAAGGCUAAA
rnacentral:rRNA from 1 species